CCUACGGGGGGCUGCAGUGGGGAAUAUUGGACAAUGGGCGAAAGCCUGAUCCAGCCAUGCCGCGUGUGUGAAGAAGGCCUUCGGGUUGUAAAGCACUUUCAGUGGAGAAGAAAGCCUUGGGGCUAAUACCCUCGAGGAAGGACAUCACCCACAGAAGAAGCACCGGCUAACUCCGUGCCAGCAGCCGCGGUAAUACGGAGGGUGCGAGCGUUAAUCGGAAUUACUGGGCGUAAAGCGCGCGUAGGCGGUCUGAUAAGCCGGUUGUGAAAGCCCCGGGCUCAACCUGGGAACGGCAUCCGGAACUGUCAGGCUAGAGUGCAGGAGAGGAAGGUAGAAUUCCCGGUGUAGCGGUGAAAUGCGUAGAGAUCGGGAGGAAUACCAGUGGCGAAGGCGGCCUUCUGGACUGACACUGACGCUGAGGUGCGAAAGCGUGGGUAGCAAACAGGAUUAGAUACCCCAGUAGUC
rnacentral:rRNA from 1 species